GGUCAAGCGAACAAGUGCAUGUGGUGGAUGCCUUGGCGAUCACAGGCGAUGAAGGACGCGGUAGCCUGCGAAAAGCCCCGGGGAGCUGGCAAACAAGCUUUGAUCCGGGGAUGUCCGAAUGGGGAAACCCACUCCGUAUGGAGUAUCCAUGACUGAAUACAUAGGUCAUGUGAAGCGAACGCGGUGAACUGAAACAUCUAAGUAACCGCAGGAAAAGAAAUCAACCGAGAUUCCCAAAGUAGUGGCGAGCGAAAUGGGAUGAGCCUUGUACUCUUUAUUUGUAUUGUUAGCCGAACGCUCUGGAAAGUGCGGCCAUAGCAGGUGAUAGCCCUGUAGGCGAAAACAGUAUGAAAGAACUAGGUGUACGACAAGUAGGGCGGGACACGUGAAAUCCUGUCUGAAGAUGGGGGGACCAUCCUCCAAGGCUAAAUACUCGUGAUCGACCGAUAGUGAACCAGUACCGUGAGGGAAAGGCGAAAAGAACCCCGGGAGGGGAGUGAAAUAGAUCCUGAAACCGCAUGCAUACAAACAGUCGGAGCCUCGUAAGGGGUGACGGCGUACCUUUUGUAUAAUGGGUCAGCGACUUACGUUCAGUAGCAAGCUUAACCGUAUAGGGCAGGCGUAGCGAAAGCGAGUCCGAAUAGGGCGUUCAGUUGCUGGGCGUAGACCCGAAACCAGGUGAUCUAUCCAUGGCCAGGAUGAAGGUGCGGUAACACGUACUGGAGGUCCGAACCCACUAACGUUGAAAAGUUAGGGGAUGAGCUGUGGAUAGGGGUGAAAGGCUAAACAAACCUGGAAAUAGCUGGUUCUCUCCGAAAACUAUUUAGGUAGUGCCUCGUGUCUCACCUUCGGGGGUAGAGCACUGUCAUGGUUGGGGGGUCUAUUGCAGAUUACCCCGCCAUAGCAAACUCCGAAUACCGAAGAGUGCAAUCACGGGAGACAGACAUCGGGUGCUAACGUCCGGUGUCAAGAGGGAAACAACCCAGACCGCCAGCUAAGGUCCCCAAAUAUGGCUAAGUGGGAAACGAAGUGGGAAGGCUAAAACAGUCAGGAGGUUGGCUUAGAAGCAGCCACCCUUUAAAGAAAGCGUAAUAGCUCACUGAUCGAGUCGUCCUGCGCGGAAGAUGUAACGGGGCUAAGCCAUAUACCGAAGCUGCGGAUGCGUGCUUGCACGCAUGGUAGGAGAGCGUUCCGUAAGCCUGCGAAGGUGUCUUGUAAAGGAUGCUGGAGGUAUCGGAAGUGCGAAUGCUGACAUGAGUAGCGAUAAAGGGGGUGAAAGGCCCCCUCGCCGUAAGCCCAAGGUUUCCUACGCAACGUUCAUCGGCGUAGGGUGAGUCGGCCCCUAAGGCGAGGCAGAAAUGCGUAGCUGAUGGGAAGCAGGUCAAUAUUCCUGCACCGUCGUUAGAUGCGAUGGGGGGACGGAUCGCGGAAGGUUGUCCGGGUGUUGGACGUCCCGGUCGCUGCAUUGGAGAAGGCGCUUAGGCAAAUCCGGGCGCAGGAUUCAAGGGUGUGGCGCGAGCGACUUCGGUCGCGAAGCAAUUGGAAGUGGUUCCAAGAAAAGCCUCUAAGCUUCAGUCUAACGAUGACCGUACCGCAAACCGACACAGGUGGGCGAGAUGAGUAUUCUAAGGCGCUUGAGAGAACUCGGGAGAAGGAACUCGGCAAAUUGGUACCGUAACUUCGGGAUAAGGUACGCCCUUGUAGCUUGACCAGCCUGCGCUGGAAGGGUGAAGGGGUUGCAAUAAACUGGUGGCUGCGACUGUUUAAUAAAAACACAGCACUCUGCAAACACGAAAGUGGACGUAUAGGGUGUGACGCCUGCCCGGUGCCGGAAGAUUAAAUGAUGGGGUGCAAGCUCUUGAUUGAAGUCCCGGUAAACGGCGGCCGUAACUAUAACGGUCCUAAGGUAGCGAAAUUCCUUGUCGGGUAAGUUCCGACCUGCACGAAUGGCGUAACGAUGGCCACACUGUCUCCUCCCGAGACUCAGCGAAGUUGAAGUGUUUGUGAUGAUGCAAUCUACCCGCGGCUAGACGGAAAGACCCCAUGAACCUUUACUGUAGCUUUGCAUUGGACUUUGAACCGAUCUGUGUAGGAUAGGUGGGAGGCUAUGAAACCGGAACGCUAGUUUCGGUGGAGCCGUCCUUGAAAUACCACCCUGGUUUGUUUGAGGUUCUAACCUUGGUCCGUGAUCCGGAUCGGGGACAGUGCAUGGUAGGCAGUUUGACUGGGGCGGUCUCCUCCCAAAGGGUAACGGAGGAGUACGAAGGUACGCUAGGUACGGUCGGAAAUCGUGCUGAUAGUGCAAUGGCAUAAGCGUGCUUAACUGCGAGACCGACAAGUCGAGCAGGUGCGAAAGCAGGUCAUAGUGAUCCGGUGGUUCUGUAUGGAAGGGCCAUCGCUCAACGGAUAAAAGGUACUCUGGGGAUAACAGGCUGAUACCGCCCAAGAGUUCAUAUCGACGGCGGUGUUUGGCACCUCGAUGUCGGCUCAUCUCAUCCUGGGGCUGUAGCCGGUCCCAAGGGUAUGGCUGUUCGCCAUUUAAAGAGGUACGUGAGCUGGGUUUAAAACGUCGUGAGACAGUUUGGUCCCUAUCUGCCGUGGGCGUUGGAUAUUUGAAGGGGGCUGCUCCUAGUACGAGAGGACCGGAGUGGACGAACCUCUGGUGUACCGGUUGUGACGCCAGUCGCAUCGCCGGGUAGCUAUGUUCGGAAGAGAUAACCGCUGAAAGCAUCUAAGCGGGAAACUCGCCUUAAGAUGAGAUAUCCCUGGAGGCUUGACCUCCUUGAAGGGUCGUUCGAGACCAGGACGUUGAUAGGUCGGGUGUGUAAGCGCAGUAAUGCGUUCAGCUAACCGAUACUAAUUGCCCGUAAGGCUUGAUCCU
rnacentral:rRNA from 1 species